CUUGUUUCAUCGCCUUUUGUCUAAGAUCAAGGGUAGUAUCUGUUCUUAUCAGGUUAAUAUCUGAUACAUCCUCUAUCCAAGUACAAUAUAUUAAAUGGAUUGGGGGGGGGGGCGAGAAGUUUUCUUAUUUAGGCCUGUUGUUUGCUCAUGCUUGCAUUGCUCAUAUAUGAAUUCAUCUCUG
rnacentral:snRNA from 1 species